rnacentral:rRNA from 1 species
UCGGGAAUUUUGGGCAAUGGGCGAAAGCCUGACCCAGCAACGCCGCGUGAAGGAUGAAGUAUUUCGGUAUGUAAACUUCGAAAGAAUAGGAAGAAUAAAUGACGGUACUAUUUAUAAGGUCCGGCUAACUACGUGCCAGCAGCCGCGGUAAUACGUAGGGUGCAGGCGUUAAUCGGAAUUACUGGGCGUAAAGCGUGCGCAGGCGGUUUGUUAAGACAGGUGUGAAAUCCCCGGGCUUAACCUGGGAAUUGCGCUUGUAACUGGCAGGCUAGAGUGUGGCAGAGGGGGGUGGAAUUCCACGUGUAGCAGUGAAAUGCGUAGAUAUGUGGAGGAACACCGAUGGCGAAGGCAGCCCCCUGGGUUAACACUGACGCUCAUGCACGAAAGCGUGGGGAGCAAAUAGGAUUAGAUACCCGUGUAGUCCCUGAGCGGGCUGGCAAGGCGCAU